rnacentral:sRNA from 1 species
GGCCGACGACACUACGCCUUUAUUGACAGAGCAACUAAAUUCAAAUGUUUCAUUAAGAUCUCAGACUAGUAGCAAAGAAUUUUCAGGAUCAGAAAACAUCGAUUACCGAAGGAUUAAAACUAAUGAGAAGUCAUCAAAAUCUCAUUUAGCACUUGCAAUUAUAGCUUGCAUUCUGGGAAGUCCUUUACAAAUCGGUCUAAAUACUGCCAUACUGAAUGCACCAGAAGAGGUUAUCAAAGAGUUCUACAAUGAAACCUACUUUGAUAGGUACAAUGAUUUCAUGUCAGACU